UACGGAGGGUGCAAGCGUUAAUCGGAAUUACUGGGCGUAAAGCGCACGCAGGCGGUCUGUCAAGUCGGAUGUGAAAUCCCCGGGCUCAACCUGGGAACUGCAUUCGAAACUGGCAGGCUAGAGUCUUGUAGAGGGGGGUAGAAUUCCAGGUGUAGCGGUGAAAUGCGUAGAGAUCUGGAGGAAUACCGGUGGCGAAGGCGGCCCCCUGGACAAAGACUGACGCUCAGGUGCGAAAGCGUGGGGAG
rnacentral:rRNA from 1 species